rnacentral:rRNA from 1 species
GAAAUGCGUAGAGAUCGGGAGGAAUACCAGUGGCGAAAGGCGGCUUUCUGGACUGACACUGACACUGAGGUGCGAAAGCGUGGGUAGCAAACAGGAUUAGAUACCCUGGUAGUCCACGCCGUAAACGAUGUCGACCAGCCGUUGGGUGCCUAGCGCACUUUGUGGCGAAGUUAACGCGAUAAGUCGACCGCCUGGGGAGUACGGCCGCAAGGUUAAAACUCAAAUGAAUUGACGGGGGCCCGCACAAGCGGUGGAGCAUGUGGUUUAAUUCGAUGCAACGCGAAGAACCUUACCUACUCUUGACAUCCUGCGAAUUUGGUAGAGAUACCUUAGUGCCUUCGGGAACGCAGAGACAGGUGCUGCAUGGCUGUCGUCAGCUCGUGUUGUGAAAUGUUGGGUUAAGUCCCGUAACGAGCGCAACCCUUGUCCUUAUUUGCCAGCGCGUAAUGGCGGGAACUCUAAGGAGACUGCCGGUGACAAACCGGAGGAAGGUGGGGACGACGUCAAGUCAUCAUGGCCCUUACGAGUAGGGCUACACACGUGCUACAAUGGUCGGUACAAAGGGUUGCCAACUCGCGAGAGUGAGCCAAUCCCGAAAAGCCGAUCUCAGUCCGGAUCGGAGUCUGCAACUCGACUCCGUGAAGUCGGAAUCGCUAGUAAUCGUGGAUCAGAAUGCCACGGUGAAUACGUUCCCGGGCCUUGUACACACCGCCCGUCACACCAUGGGAGUGGACUGCACCAGAAGUGGUUAGCCUAACGCAAGAGGGCGAUCACCACGGUGUGGUUCAUGACUGGGGUGAAGUCGUAACAAGGUAACC